UGUCAUUGUCAUGUCAUGUCAAUUUAAUGAAUUUUCUUAGUAUUAUCAAAUAUUGUUUGUUGAUAUUCUUAAUUUAGUUUUCUAUUUGAAUGUUUUCCGUACUUAAUACUAUUAAUUAUUUAACACUAUACUAUUUCUAAAUCUUUUGCGUCGAAAUUUAUCAUUGGAUUUUUAAAUAACGAAUACAGGAAAUAUGACGUAGCAAUCAACAAUCUUGUCGAGUUUGGAUGAAUCAUUAUCAACUUCUGUUCUAGAUAUCUAGAUAUUUAUAUUAAUUGAUACAUAAAAAAAGAAUUUGACAAUAUUAUAUAUAUUGUAUUGAUAAGAAUUAUAUAUUGUCUUCUGUGGAAACAAUUAACGAACCAUUAAAAAGUUUAAUAUUUAGUGAUUUUGCAAGUAGAUAUUUUUACACAGGGUUGUCACACGCUCUCUAAAUGGAUUUCCUGCUCAAAAGCAUCGUGAUCAGCGCGGCGGUGGUGGCGGCGGCGGUCGCAGUCGCCGUCGAAUGGUGGCAGUACAGGAAUGUACCACAAGCAUACAGCACACACGGCCAGCGACGGCCAAAGAGUGACUAGAUGGAAGUUAUGUAGUAAGUUAGUCCUUAAACCCCAGUCAUUUUAAUAAUAUAAUAAAAAUAUAACUAGACAAUGAUU
rnacentral:lncRNA from 1 species